rnacentral:rRNA from 1 species
GGUUUGAUUAUGGCUCAGAUUGAACGCUAUGGGAUGCUUUACACAUGCAAGUCGAACGGCAGCACGGACUUCGGUCUGGUGGCGAGUGGCGAACGGGUGAGUAAUGUAUCGGAACGUGCCUAGUAGCGGGGGAUAACUACGCGAAAGCGUAGCUGGUUACCGCACAUUGCAGUCUUUCGGGGAAAGCGGGGACCUUCGGGCCUCGCACUAUUAGAGCGGCCGAUAUCGAUUAGCUAGUUGGUGGGGUAAAUUGGUCACCAAGGUGACGAUCCGUAGCUGGUUUGAGAGUGGGCGACCAGCCACACUGGGACUGGAGACACGGCCCAGACUCCUACGGAGGCAGCAGUGGGAAUUUUGGACAAUGGGAACCCCUGAUCCAGCCAUCCGCGUGUGCGAUGAAGGCCUUCUUGGUUGUAAAAAGCACUUUUGGCAGGAAAGAAACGGCACGGGAUAAUACCCCGUGCAACUGACGGUACCAGCAGAAUAAGCACCGGCUAACUACGUGCCAGCAGCCGCGGUAAUACGUAGGGUGCAAGCGUUAAUCGGAAUUACUGGGCAAAGCGUGCGCAGGCGGUUCGGAAAAAGAAAGAUGUGAAAUCCCUGAGCUUAACUUUGGAACUGCAUUUUUAACUACCGAGUUAGAGUGUGUCAGAGGGAGGUGGAAUUCCGCGUGUAGUAGUGAAAUGCGUGGAUAUGCGGAGGAACACCGAUGGCGAAGGCAGCCUCCUGGGAUAACACUGAUUACCAUGCAAUUUAAAAAGCGUGGGGAGCAAAACAGGAUUAGAUACCCCGUAUUCCACGGCUCUAAACGAUGUCAACUAGCUGUUGGGGCCUUCGGGCCUGGUAGCGCAGCUAACGCGUGAAGUUGACCGCCUGGGGAGCAGGCUGAAUGCAAAGAUUAACUCAAAGAAUGCAGACCCUCCGCAUGUAAAGUGAAGGAUGAUGUGGAUUAAUUCUUUAUGCAAUGCGAAAAACUCACGACCCUUUUGACAUGUCUGAAAUCCCGAAGAGAUUUGGGAGUGCUCGCAAGAGAACCGGAACACAGGUGCUGCAUGGCUGUCGUCAGCUCGUGUCGUGAGAUGUUGGGUUAAGUCCCGCAACGAGCGCAACCCUUGUCAUUAGUUGCUACGAAAGGGCACUCUAAUGAGACUGCCGGUACAAACUGAGGGAAGGUGGGGAUGACGUCAAGUCCUCAUGGCCCUCAUGGGUAGGGCUUCACACGUCAUACAAUGGUCGGGACAGAGGGUCGCCAACCCGCGAGGGGGAGCCAAUCCCAGAAACCCGAUCGUAGUCCGGAUCGCAGUCUGCAACUCGACCAUGUAGUCGGAAUCGCUAGUAAUCGCGGAUCAGCAUGUCGCGGUGAAUACGUUCCCGGGUCUUGUACACACCGCCCGUCACACCAUGGGAGUGGGUUUUACCAGAAGUAGUUAGCCUAACCGUAAGGAGACAUUACCACGGUAGGAUUCAUGACUGGGGUGAAGUCGUAACAAGGUAG